rnacentral:tRNA from 1 species
CGGGGCGUAGCGCAGUCUGGCUAGCGCGCUAGAAUGGGGUUCUAGAGGUCGUGGGUUCAAAUCCCGCCGCCCCGA